AUGAACGCUAGCUACAGGCUUAACACAUGCAAGUCGAGGGGCAGCAUCAUCAAAGCUUGCUUUGAUGGAUGGCGACCGGCGCACGGGUGAGUAACACGUAUCCAACCUGCCGACAACACUGGGAUAGCCUUUCGAAAGAAAGAUUAAUACCGGAUGGCAUAAUUAUUCCGCAUGGGAUAAUUAUUAAAGAAUUUCGGUUGUCGAUGGGGAUGCGUUCCAUUAGGCAGUUGGCGGGGUAACGGCCCACCAAACCUACGAUGGAUAGGGGUUCUGAGAGGAAGGUCCCCCACAUUGGAACUGAGACACGGUCCAAACUCCUACGGGAGGCAGCAGUGAGGAAUAUUGGUCAAUGGACGAGAGUCUGAACCAGCCAAGUAGCGUGAAGGAUGACUGCCCUAUGGGUUGUAAACUUCUUUUAUACGGGAAUAAAGUGAGCCACGUGUGGCUUUUUGUAUGUACCGUAUGAAUAAGGAUCGGCUAACUCCGUGCCAGCAGCCGCGGUAAUACGGAGGAUUCGAGCGUUAUCCGGAUUUAUUGGGUUUAAAGGGAGCGUAGGCGGGUUGUUAAGUCAGUUGUGAAAGUUUGCGGCUCAACCGUAAAAUUGCAGUUGAUACUGGCGACCUUGAGUGCAACAGAGGUAGGCGGAAUUCGUGGUGUAGCGGUGAAAUGCUUAGAUAUCACGAAGAACUCCGAUUGCGAAGGCAGCUUACUGGAUUGUAACUGACGCUGAUGCUCGAAAGUGUGGGUAUCAAACAGGAUUAGAUACCCUGGUAGUCCACACAGUAAACGAUGAAUACUCGCUGUUGGCGAUAUACAGUCAGCGGCCAAGCGAAAGCAUUAAGUAUUCCACCUGGGGAGUACGCCGGCAACGGUGAAACUCAAAGGAAUUGACGGGGGCCCGCACAAGCGGAGGAACAUGUGGUUUAAUUCGAUGAUACGCGAGGAACCUUACCCGGGCUUAAAUUGCAACUGACGGAACCGGAAACGGUUCUUUCUUCGGACAGUUGUGAAGGUGCUGCAUGGUUGUCGUCAGCUCGUGCCGUGAGGUGUCGGCUUAAGUGCCAUAACGAGCGCAACCCUUACGGGUAGUUACCAUCAGGUUAUGCUGGGGACUCUACCCGGACUGCCGUCGUAAGAUGUGAGGAAGGUGGGGAUGACGUCAAAUCAGCACGGCCCUUACGUCCGGGGCUACACACGUGUUACAAUGGGGGGUACAGAAGGCAGCUACACGGCGACGUGGUGCUAAUCCCAAAAGCCUCUCUCAGUUCGGAUUGGAGUCUGCAACCCGACUCCAUGAAGCUGGAUUCGCUAGUAAUCGCGCAUCAGCCACGGCGCGGUGAAUACGUUCCCGGGCCUUGUACACACCGCCCGUCAAGCCAUGAAAGCCGGGGGUACCUGAAGUACGUAACCGCGAGGAGCGUCCUAGGGUAUAACUGGUGAUUGGGGCU
rnacentral:rRNA from 1 species